rnacentral:rRNA from 1 species
AAAAGAACCUGAAACCGUGUACGUACAAGCAGUGGGAGCACGCUUAGGCGUGUGACUGCGUACCUUUUGUAUAAUGGGUCAGCGACUUAUAUUCUGUAGCAAGGUUAACCGAAUAGGGGAGCCGAAGGGAAACCGAGUCUUAACUGGGCGUUAAGUUGCAGGGUAUAGACCCGAAACCCGGUGAUCUAGCCAUGGGCAGGUUGAAGGUUGGGUAACACUAACUGGAGGACCGAACCGACUAAUGUUGAAAAAUUAGCGGAUGACUUGUGGCUGGGGGUGAAAGGCCAAUCAAACCGGGAGAUAGCUGGUUCUCCCCGAAAGCUAUUUAGGUAGCGCCUCGUGAAUUCAUCUCCGGGGGUAGAGCACUGUUUCGGCAAGGGGGUCAUCCCGACUUACCAACCCGAUGCAAACUGCGAAUACCGGAGAAUGUUAUCACGGGAGACACACGGCGGGUGCUAACGUCCGUCGUGAAGAGGGAAACAACCCAGACCGCCAGCUAAGGUCCCAAAGUCAUGGUUAAGUGGGAAACGAUGUGGGAAGGCCCAGACAGCCAGGAUGUUGGCUUAGAAGCAGCCAUCAUUUAAAGAAAGCGUAAUAGCUCACUGGUCGAGUCGGCCUGCGCGGAAGAUGUAACGGGGCUAAACCAUGCACCGAAGCUGCGGCAGCGACGCUUAUGCGUUGUUGGGUAGGGGAGCGUUCUGUAAGCCUGCGAAGGUGUGCUGUGAGG